UCUUUCAAAACAGAAUUAACCAACAGAACAAAUGAGAGCUUUGUACAGUUCAGAAGCAGAAGAAACCGGGGAAGAGGCACAGGAGGGGGUUUUGGCCCGGGGCCCCUUCACCUGCGCUUGUGGCGGAGAUUGAAGGCGAUCCAGGGCACGAAGCGGUACUUGUAGGACUCCCAGCGUCUCCUCAGAGCCCUCCAGAACAUGGCUGCCGCCCCGGAAGAGGAGGAGCAGGAAGAGGAAAGAGGGAAGGCAGAGCCAACUCAAGCCUCCUCCCCGCUCCUCCCACGCGUGCCUUUAAAACGUUGGCUGGAAUUUGGUGUUCUUAAGCCAAGAAUGGCCUCAAAAUA